rnacentral:rRNA from 1 species
GGUUAAGCGACUAAGCGUACACGGUGGAUGCCCUGGCAGUCAGAGGCGAUGAAGGACGUGCUAAUCUGCGAUAAGCGUCGGUAAGGUGAUAUGAACCGUUAUAACCGGCGAUUUCCGAAUGGGGAAACCCAGUGUGAUUCGUCACACUAUCAUUAACUGAAUCCAUAGGUUAAUGAGGCGAACCGGGGGAACUGAAACAUCUAAGUACCCCGAGGAAAAGAAAUCAACCGAGAUUCCCCCAGUAGCGGCGAGCGAACGGGGAGGAGCCCAGAGCCUGAAUCAGUGUGUGUGUUAGUGGAAGCGUCUGGAAAGGCGCGCGAUACAGGGUGACAGCCCCGUACACAAAAAUGCACAUGCUGUGAGCUCGAUGAGUAGGGCGGGACACGUGGUAUCCUGUCUGAAUAUGGGGGGACCAUCCUCCAAGGCUAAAUACUCCUGACUGACCGAUAGUGAACCAGUACCGUGAGGGAAAGGCGAAAAGAACCCCGGCGAGGGGAGUGAAAAAGAACCUGAAACCGUGUACGUACAAGCAGUGGGAGCACGCUUAGGCGUGUGACUGCGUACCUUUUGUAUAAUGGGUCAGCGACUUAUAUUCUGUAGCAAGGUUAACCGAAUAGGGGAGCCGAAGGGAAACCGAGUCUUAACUGGGCGUUAAGUUGCAGGGUAUAGACCCGAAACCCGGUGAUCUAGCCAUGGGCAGGUUGAAGGUUGGGUAACACUAACUGGAGGACCGAACCGACUAAUGUUGAAAAAUUAGCGGAUGACUUGUGGCUGGGGGUGAAAGGCCAAUCAAACCGGGAGAUAGCUGGUUCUCCCCGAAAGCUAUUUAGGUAGCGCCUCGUGAAUUCAUCUCCGGGGGUAGAGCACUGUUUCGGCAAGGGGGUCAUCCCGACUUACCAACCCGAUGCAAACUGCGAAUACCGGAGAAUGUUAUCACGGGAGACACACGGCGGGUGCUAACGUCCGUCGUGAAGAGGGAAACAACCCAGACCGCCAGCUAAGGUCCCAAAGUCAUGGUUAAGUGGGAAACGAUGUGGGAAGGCCCAGACAGCCAGGAUGUUGGCUUAGAAGCAGCCAUCAUUUAAAGAAAGCGUAAUAGCUCACUGGUCGAGUCGGCCUGCGCGGAAGAUGUAACGGGGCUAAACCAUGCACCGAAGCUGCGGCAGCGACGCUGAUGCGUUGUUGGGUAGGGGAGCGUUCUGUAAGCCUGCGAAGGUGUGCUGUGAGGCAUGCUGGAGGUAUCAGAAGUGCGAAUGCUGACAUAAGUAACGAUAAAGCGGGUGAAAAGCCCGCUCGCCGGAAGACCAAGGGUUCCUGUCCAACGUUAAUCGGGGCAGGGUGAGUCGACCCCUAAGGCGAGGCCGAAAGGCGUAGUCGAUGGGAAACAGGUUAAUAUUCCUGUACUUGGUGUUACUGCGAAGGGGGGACGGAGAAGGCUAUGUUGGCCGGGCGACGGUUGUCCCGGUU